GAGGCGUGAAGUUAAUUUUCCUGUGAGCAGCAACAGCUGAGAACCUCAGAUUCGGUCGCUAGAAGACAAACUAUGGAGGCACGUUUCAUUAUCAGCAUUUGGCUGUUUAUCCACCUGGGUGUGGUGCUGGGUGACUCGGUCCAGUCCAAGGACCCCCAAAUGUCUGGAACAGAAGGAGACCAUGUGGCCCUCAGUUGCUCCUACACUACCAGCUAUCCCUAUUCCCUGUCUCUCUACUGGUACCGCCAGUAUCCCAACCGAGCCCCGCAGUACAUUGAGCAGAGAGGAGGCAAGGGAAACACGUAUGAUCAUACUGCAGAUUUCGCCCAGGAGAGGUUUUCUUCCCAGGCUGAUGACAGCUCCACCCUUCUGAACAUCCCAGUCCUGGAGCCGACAGAUACAGCGAUGUCUUACUGCGCCCUGCAGAGGGCACAGUGACAGAGCCAUAUGGCAGAGCUGUACAAAAACCCUUCCAGCCUUAUUGCAGUUGCGGUUAGGUACAUUGAGGCUGGAAGCAGGGGCCCUUGGCAGAUUUGCUAUACUGUGAUGAAAUUCAGCAUUUGGAGUAGUUUUGGUGGUGUCAAGGUGUAUCUUCCGAUUCCUCCCACAAGCAAAUUCCUGUGCAGACAUAAGAAGGGCUAUACUGGGUCAGACCAAUGGUCCUUCUAGCUCAGUAUCCGACAGUGGCUAAUGCCAGGUGCUCCAGAGUGAGUGAACAGAACAGGUAAUCAUCAAGUGAUCCAUCCCCUGUUGCCCAUUUCCAGCUUCUGACAAACAGGCUCCAGGGACACCAUCCUCGCCCAUCCUCUGUCAGCCUUAGUUUUGCUAGGUAA